rnacentral:rRNA from 1 species
UUUUGGACAAUGGGGGAAACCCUGAUCCAGCGAUCCCGUGUGUGCGACGAAGGCCUUCGGGUUGUAAAGCACUUUUGGCAGGGAAGAAAAGGUUCUGGCUAAUACCCGGCACUGCUGACGGUACCUGCAGAAUAAGCACCGGCUAACUACGUUCCAGCAGCCGCGGUAAUACGUAGGGUGCAAGGGUUAAUCGGAAUUACUGUGCGUAAAGGGUGCGCAGGCGGUUUGGCAAGAAAGAUCUGACAUCCCAGGGAUUAACCUUGGAACUGCAUUCUUAACCGCCAGGCUAGAGUAUAUCAGAGGGGGGUAGAAUUCCGCGUGUAGCAGUGAAAUGCGUAGAGAUGCGGAGGAAUACCGAUGGCGAAGGCAGCCCCCUGGGAUAAUACUGACGCUCAUGCACGAAAGCGUGGGGAGCAAACAGA